rnacentral:lncRNA from 1 species
GAUAUAGUCUGUUACCAUGGGAAAACCAUCCUUCCAUGGCUGUGGUGAUUUGGGGACUUUUAGAGUGACAGUGUUAGACAGACUGAUUUUAUUGGCUGAAUCUUAGAUUUUACUGAUAUAUAGCAUAUCCCAUACCAUGAUAUGCGGGCAAUAUUCCAGCUUGAGACAAUUUUUUUUUUUUUUUUUUGAGACAGAGUCUUGCUCUGUCGCCCAGGCUGGAGUGCAGUGGCACAAUUUCGGCUCACUGCACUAAUUUUUUGUAUUUUUAGUAGAGACAGUAGAGUAUUUUUAGUGUUAGCCAGGAUGGUCUCGAUCUCCUGACCUCAUGAUCCGCCUGCCUCGGCCUCCCAGAGUGCUGGGAUUACAGGCAUGAGCCACCGCGCCUGGCCGAGACAAUUUUUAAAAAGACAUUUCUCAAGAGAGUUAUAAGCCAAAAUUUCCCUAGCCCCCUCCAACUCAUUCUGUCCUUCUCCCAGUGCAUGUCAGGACAGGGAAGAAGGCUUUAAAUCAGAUUUUAAGAAAGAGGAUACAUUGGUUUACAACCUUUGCCUAUCGUCCAGAGAGUUUCUGAUCUUUUCUUUUUUUUUGAGACGGAGUCUUGCUCUGUCGCCCAGGCUGGAGUGUAGUGGCACGAUCUUGGCUCACUGCAAGCUCUGCCUCCCAGGUUCACGCCAUUCUCCUGCCCCAGCCUCCCGAGCAGUUGGGACUACAGGCACCUGCCACCACGCCUGGCAAAUUUUUUGUAUUUUUAGUAAAGACGGGGUUUCAUUGUGUUAGCCAGGAUGGUUUCGAUCUCCUGACCUUGUGAUCCGCCCACCUCGGCCUCCCAGAGUGCUGGGAUUACAGGUGUGAGCCACUACACCCGGCCCUGAUCUUUUCUUUGACGGUGGCAGUAUCUCAUUUUUUGAUAAUACACAUGGGUAAUGGCAAGCUCUUGGGACCCCAUGCCAAGCAUCAAGAUCCCAUUUACCUGGUGAUAGGAAAGACAGACAUUCCUCACCCUUUCUACCCACACCCUUGUUCACAGGGAUGACUGUAACUAAGGUCUGCAGGUAUUUAUGCUUAGGAGAAGAAAUCGUAGUUCAAUUCACCAGGAAUAUGAGAAACAAAAGAAAGCCACUAUGUGCUAUGUAAAUGUCUGGCCAUCCAAAGCCACCUUAUGCAGAGGAACACUGGAAGGGCCUUGAUAAAUUUCUCAUAAUUAUUAUCGGGCCUCUUUGUGAUUACUCACAUUUUUCUCAAUAUAGGGGAAAGAUCAGCAUUUUACCAAAUCCACAACCAUCAAACAAACAAGAGCUUUAAUAUUGCUAAAGAAAAUCACACAGCUGAGCAGAUUGAUGUAGAUUUGAAUUCAUGACCACCUAUCUUAACUGGACCCUCAGCUCUGCCUAGCUAGUAUUCAUUCUAGCUACUAGUUUUGAUUAUUUGUAUUGACUCUUUUAUAUUUUCUCCACCUUCCUCAAAUAUCUCACCUUCCCCCACCCCUCAGUGGACAAAAAAAAAAAAAAAAUUCUUCAUGAAGAAAACUGAAGCCUUCAAAUAGAAAUUUCCUCACCUUCAAGGCACCAAAGCCACAACUUACCUACCCCCGCUCCUGCCUGCUCCUCUCCCCAUCCCUUCUGCUACAACGAAGGAAGCAGUAAUGGCUCCAUCAAUGGCUUCUCACACUUGGUGUCAGAGGCCUUCACACGAGGGUUUGCACUCCCCUACAAGGACAUGAAGACUUUCUAGAAGCCAAGAUGGAGGAGCAGGGGCCAAGUUUAUCCUCCUGCCUGAAACAACCAACCAAACAGUAAAUACAUGAAAUAAUGAGUUUCAAGACACUGGACAUGAGGUAACAAAAGACAGUGAUCUCUCAGAGGCAAGAAACAAACAAGGAGAACCCCUCGGUUGCCCAGCUUACCGCUUGAGAGGAUGUAUUUCACGGAGGGAGAACCCAGGCAAAGCAAGUGACUCUGAGGUGAGGGGAUAGCUGGGAGUGUGGAGCAGCCAAGCUGGCUAGAGUGCUCAGGACAGGGUACUGGAGAGGAGAAAGGUGGAUAUAUAGAGAAUUCUGGGGAUCUGCAAAGGGCCCCCCUUGAGUGUUCCACAGAGCAUGAUUCAUCAUAUAAGUGUAAGGAAACCACUUGAGACAAAGGAAAGGACCACCCAAAACAAUGGGCCGGAACAGUAGCCAGAAGUCACACACAGCCUGGACCACGCCUGUCCCCAUCAGCCAGAUUGGAAAACCUCAAAUUUAUGGAGCAUUGGUCAGAGGUCUCAGAAGGGCCUUGCCUCGUAGUGGGGAUUCAUUAGCCCUAGUUUAAACAUUGCUGGAACCUACCUAACAAAUCUCAAAAGCAAGACCUGAAUUCAGGAAUCAAGCUGUUUCUAAGUAACUGAAGUGUAUCCCAGAACAAAACCCAAGAACAUUAACAGAAAUCCAAAAUUAACGAGCACCCAAAAAUGUAAAAUUCACAAUGGCUGGUUUUCCAAUAAAAAAUUACCAGUCAUGCAAACUAUAACCCAUCAUAAGGAGAAAAAUCAGUUGAAACCACUACAGCUGACACCUAUGUGAGAAUUAGACAAGGACACUAAAAGAAUUAUUAUAACUGUAUUCCAUAUGUACUAAGUAGAGACUAGGAAGAUAUUUUUAAAUACCCACUUUGAAUUUUAGAGACGAAAACUAAAAUGUCUGAGAUGAUGGGGUGGGUGGGGUAGGCAGAAAGAGGAGGAUGGGAAGAAGUACCAAGGGGAAGGAGGAAUGAUUUGGGGAUGACGGCUGUGUUUAUUAUCUUAAUUGUGGUGAUGGUUUCACAGGUAUAUGUAAUUUCUAAACUUAUCAAAUUGUACACUUAAAAUAUGUGGUCUAUGGAAUGUUAAUUAUAUCUCAAUAAAGCUGUUAAAAUUGUACUGAAACAAAACCAUUGGGGGAAACUGGGUAAAGAGUCCAAAGGACCUCCCUAUACUAUCAUUGUAACUUCCUGUCAA